AGUCACUAUGCUGGAAUCUAGGGAUAAAUUUCUAAGAACAAAUUAUGGCCGUGCUCCUUAAGGAGCCUGUGUCUCAUCUGGAGGACCUUGUUGCAAAGCUGAAUUUAAUUCUCUGGGCCUGUGGUGGGGCCUAAAAGUCUGCCCUUUGAUUUAUUUCCGGAUCAUUUUAUAUAAACUUCCGACCAGGCCCCUGGGUAUUAAGAGAAAGGGGGAAAGAGUUUUCCCUAGUGUCUGCUCCCAGCUUCGCCACUUUGAAUUUUCUUCCGCUUCCCUGAAAUGUCAGAAAAGGUAACCGAGUCUCACUGACUACCGCUGUCAGCCGCGUAGAAUCAAGUGGUUGCUCCGCGGGCACCUAAUUAUUAAGAGAGAGCUGAUAAGUGAGCUGCUGUCCCCUUGCCAGUUCCUCUUACUGUCCCUCGCCCACAGCACAUGGAGAGGUGCUGGGGACUGUUCCCCUGCUGUGCCUCCAGCUUGCUCCUCCCUCCUUCCUUCCUGGUCUCCACGACGUCCCUUCACCCAUACAGCAGAUCACCCUAUCCCCGGAAGAAAUUUGCCCCUUCGUGCCUGUUGUGCGGGGCAGCCAGAGAAAGGCAGGAAGCUCCGGCAGGCAACUUCCCUUCCAGUAGAUCUGUGAGCGGAAUCUGAGCUGCGGCUUCUGAUGUGGUUGACCUCUGGGGAGAAGCUUUAAAAGCUGCCAUGAUUUUGUUGCGUCUCAUCUGGUUUGAUUUGGAAUGAUUUAUCCCAGAGAUGAUUUUCUGAGUACGUUCAACACCCCCCACCCCCGCGCCCCCAAGGGAAGGGAUCCCUUGGCUAUAGAGAAAAUGUACCACGCCCUCCUCGAUGGCAUUUGCCUCUGCGAGCAGAAGGCAGAGAGAAGACUUCGUGCACUUCAAACGCAGGCUUGAUUCUCUGGCAGUCCGCGGUUCCCUGUGCUUCAGCGGCUUCCACGGCCGGAGGGGAAGCUUGCCUGAACCCCAUCGAGGAAGCACUGGACCCCAUCAAGGCGGCGCAGGACUUGACAAAGCCUUCUAGAGUCCCGGAGUUUGCUGCCUCUGGCUCAGUAACACAGCAGGGAGACAAACCAGAGCCACCUCAAAGGCUCGGGGACUUUAAGGCCAGAGCUACCCGCUGACAAGAGUAAACAAACAGAGAUCCGCCUCCACCGCCACCAGCCUAGCUUCCCAGGCUGUGCUGGCUGACUCAGGUCUCACCGGCUUUUCAGUGUGGAUUUGUCUGAGCUCCCUAAACUGUUCAUUUCUUCAAGACUGUUGGGCCUCUGCAACUCAGAAAGCCUUUGUGCGUGUGCUGGUUAGGAGUCACUCAUCUUUCCUUCCUUCCUUCCUUCCUUCCUUCCUUCCUUCCUUCCUUCCUUCCUUCCUUCCUUUUUUUUUUUUUUUUUUUCCAAUUUGGCACAGACCUAGACAUACCUGGCAAGAGGGAAUCUCCACUGAGGAACUGCCCACAUCAGACUGGCCUCUGGGCACGUGUGGGGACUUUUUCGUGUUAAUUCAUGUAGCAGGGCACCGUGGGCCAUGCCGUCCCUGGGCAGGUGUGCCCUGGGACUGUGAAAGAAAGCUGGCUGUGCAAGCCAGUGAGCAGCGUUCCUCUGAGGAGACCUUCAAGGGAGAGAGAGAGUGGCCACAGUCCAAGGAGACUAGGGGAUAAGAACAGAAGGAACUCGGAGUGGACUCAUCUGGCUGACCCUUCAGAGAAGGGCGCAGUGGACGGACCGCUCAGCUACAGCCUGGUGGGAGUCAGAAGCAGGAUGCUGUAAGUUGUGUCCAACUCCAGACCUACAGAAACAGCGAGGAAGCCCUUGCCCAGCUCACAAAUGGUACAGUAGCAUGAACUGUACCAUAGAGAGUAAUGCAGGUGUUACAGUUAAAGGCCUAUCAGCGAGAUUGGGAAGUAGGGGAACCCCUGAGUGAUCGCCCUCUGAAGGCUCGUCAGCAGGUAAGAAAUUGAUGGUGAGGGUGAAUUGAAAAUGGGUGCUAGUGGGAGCUGGAGAGAUGGCUCAGAGGUUAAGAGCAUUGCCUGCUCUUCCAAAGGUCCUGAGUUCAAUUCCCAGCAACCACAUGGUGGCUCACAACCAUCUGUAAAGAGGUCUGGCGCCCUCUUCUGGCCUUCAGGCAUGCACACAGAGUAUUGUAUACAUAAUAAAUAAAUAAAUGUUUAAAAAAAAAAGAAAAUGGGUGCUAGUAAUUCUGUUCCAAUAUUGACGGGCCGAUUGAUGGGCCAAUUCAUAGUUCUUUUAGAGAAACAAGGCACCGGUAUUAAAACUAAGACAGCCCAAGAGUUCAUUAAGACAGUUUUCUUUUGUGUAUAGGCCCAAAUGUGGUAUUGCUAAAGACUGGGCCUUGUUCUUAUGCACUAAUCCCUGAAAGUCUGAUAAUCAUUUUCCUUUUGAUAAGUUGGUCACCUUUUUCAAAAACCAUCUGGUAUGCUUCCCAAAAGUUAUUUCUUUGCAACCUCUGGCAAGGGCUCAGAACGUGUUUACUAAUGGGUUUUCCAUCAGAUGGGCUUGGUGGCCUCCCCUCCUGAUUCUGAUAUUCAGCUUGUUGAUGCUAAAUCUGCUCUGGUGACUGAAUUGAUACUUGUACAAAUGGCCCUAGAGAAAUGUGCUGAUAUUCCAUUUAACCUUUUUACUGACAGUCAAUAUGUAAGCAAAAUUCUCACACCUUUGGAAACUGCAGCUUAUACUGCUCCUGUAUCUCGAGUCCAGAUGCAGUUAUUGGCUAUUCAAACAUUGCUUUGGGCCCGAUCUGUUCCCAUUUAUGUAGGGCAUUUGCAGGCUCAUACUGACCUCCCUGGUCCCUUGAGCGAGGGGAGUACAUUGGCUGAUCAGCUUACUCACCAAAUUUGUGCAAUUAGUCAAAAAUUUUAAGAAGCUGCAGAAAAAGCUCAUAAUCAUUUUCUCCUCAAUGCCGGAUCUUUAAGAUUUCAUUUUAAAAUAUCUUGAGAGCAGGCCACUGAUAUUGUUAAAAAUGCUCUGUGUACAGAUCUUUUAGCUGUUUCCCCAUUUGGGAGUUAAUCCUCGUGGGCUUGUUCCUGAUCAUUUAUGACAAAUGGAUAUUACCCAUGUUCCUUCUUUUGGGCAUAUGUAAUAUGUUCACGUAACUGUGGAUACAUAUUCUCAUCUUAUUCUUGCUUCAGCCCAUACAGGAGAAAAAUUACAAGAUGUUAAAAGUCACUGUCUCCAGGCUUUCACCCACAUAUGAGUUCCAAAAACUGUAAAAGCUGGCAAUGGGCCAGCCUACACCAGCAUUGACUUUGCUAAAUUUUUCUCUGAGUUCUCUAUUUCUCAUAAAACGAGAGUACCUAAUAAUCCUCAAGGACUGGCUAUAGUGGAGGGUGCACAUCUUAUGCUCAAAGCCUAUUUGCAUAAAACAAGAAAGGAGGGAAUAUGGUUCCAUCCCCAGAGACCAUUUAUCUUUUAUUUAAUACAUUUAAAAUUUUUUAACUGUUGAUGCUCAAUCUCGUACCGCUGCUGACCAGCACUGACAGCCAGUUUCUUCUGGGAUGCCUCAUGUCAGGUGGAAGAAUCUAACAGGUGGCACUUGGUGUGGUCCAGAUCCCAUACUGGUGUGGGGAGGAGGGGCUGUUUGUGUUUUCCCACAGGAUGCUGACAGUACAAUAUGGGUACCAGAGCACCUGGUGCAUGCUGGGAUUUUCCUGCCCAGAAGCCUGAAGACAGGACAAAGCCAAGAAAUCAAAUGGACACUGGUUGGCGCCUAGCACAGUUGUCAUCAGGGAGGCUUCAUCCGGCAACUGAUGGUCACAUUGAGCCCCUUGCAUCCUGAAGAAAAGGGAAAAGAAGGAUUGGAGGAGCCAGAGGGGUCAGGACACCAAAAGAAACCCACAGGAUCAACUAACCUGGUUUCAUAGGGGCUCACAGAGACCGAACCAACAACCAGGGAGUCUGCAAGCGGCUGACCUUGGCCCUUGGUUUAUAUUUCACAGGGACAACGGAAAGAAAAUGUUUCAUUUCCUUGUGAACUUUAAAGCCUGCACGGAGACAUGGGUGUCUUAGUUACUGUUCCGUUGCUGUGAAGAGACAUCAUGACCAAGGCAGACCAUAAGAGAAAGAACAUCUAACUGGGGUCUUCUUAACUGUUUCACAGUUUCAAAAGCUUGGGACUCCGGGAGUGCAGAAAGACUUCCUGAGGUGUAGGAGACUGGCUGUGCUGCAGAAAUGUCUGACCUGCUCCUGAGGUUGACACCUGGAGGAAGAUGUCUAGCUGUGACCUCUCACUUAGGUGCGGAGGACAGAGACUCUCACGGGGACUGCUGUGAGACCUGAGUGAGCAUGCUCUGUGACUUCUGAAUCGUGGUGAGAUUUGAUUACAUGGUCAUUGGACAGAAAACACUCUGUGGGCCGGGUGUGCAGGAACUCACUGUGCCGAGGACUGCAAGUGGAGCCACGGUUCUUAUCUUUUGCACAUGCAGAGACGUGGGUGUAUAUCUCUUGGUACUGUGCUCAGGAGACAUGACUAAUCAGUUAUGGAAUUAGGAAUUUAAGCUUGGAAUACCUGGCUCUGUGGAUCACGCUCUUAAUCCACAUGCUAUAAGAGAAUUUAAAUAAUUUGAAAUACUUGCCCGUCAGUAAUCUAAGCCCCCUAUGAGAAAAAUAGAUGAUUUAAAAUGGCCACGGCUUUAAGAAAGACAUGAAAUGUUUUAGGUCACCUGUUCUUAGCUGUUAGUCUGGGCAGAGAGUGUCGGCAGUGAAAACAUGUCUGGUGAGGAGCUCAAGAGAAGGUCUGGGAGACACUGCUCGGUCUACAUCUGAACAUUCUAGAAACUAUUGCUUUUGCAUCAGCCAUAUUGGGAAGGACAGUUUUCUCCAUCCUGUUCCAUGUAUCAAUUUGUAGUUAUGUAUUUUUUUUUAGACAGACAGGGUCUCUCUCUGUAGCUCUGUUUGUUCUGGAACUAGCUCUGUAGAUCAGUCUGGCCUUGAACUCACAGAGAUCGCCUGCCUCUGACUCCCGAGUGCUGGGAUUAAAGGUGUGCGCCACCGCGUCCCGCUGUAGUGUUGCAUCUUCUCUUUCCCAGAGUUUGCAGAGGCUUUCUGUCCUCUAUGGAUUAAAUAGGGUUUAUCCAAGAAUGUACCUUUGGUCAAGUGCAGCGGUUCUCAACUUGUGGGUCACCACCCUUCCAUAGGGGUCACCUAAGACCAUUGGAAAACACUGAUAUUUACAUGUGCCGUUCAUAACAGUAACAGAAUACAGCUAUGAAGCAACAACAGAAAUGGUUUUAUGGUUGGGGGUGCCACAGCAUGAGGAACUGAAUUUGGAAAGCUGAGAACCACUGCUCUAAUGAAAACAUCGCUGGUGCUUAGAACGGGAAAGGGGACUAGAAGUAAUAGAAGUAAAUCUGGGACUCAGUUUCCUCAGCUGUAAAGAAGGAAAUGAACGAGAUGACCCGAAGGUAUUCUUUGUUCUAAUAAUCUUUGCUUCCCAGCACUCUGGGCCUGUGUGUGGAAGGCUAAGUAUGCUUCUUGCACAUUUUUCUUACUGUGUGUGUGUGUGUGUGUGUGUGUGUGUGUGUGUGUGUGUGUGUGUGAAAACACCACAUCUUUGGUACUGGGUUUGAGGCAUCACGAUGCUUAGACAAUCCCUUCUGUCUCGGGGAAACAGCAUGCCGGGAAACGGGAUGAUUAAAUUUCUCAUUUUAGACGAGUUAAAAAACUGUCCCCUCUGCUUUUCAGAUUCGUUUGUUCUUUACUCUGCUUUCCUAACUUUUGAGUCCAGGCAUGGGGUGGGGUGGGGUGAGUGCCCCCAUCACCAAGUAACCUUUACUGCUGAGCCCUGACCUACAGCCACUUUCUGAGCUGCCUGCAGGAUCACUUUGUAGAUUAGCAGGCCUCUUAAUGGGGAUAAAAUGCUGGUGCAGCCGACUGCUCUAUUGGCUCUCAUCCGGGAAUUUUGCUAACGUUGCCUUCAUAGUCUAGAUUUGGCUCAUCUGCCCCCUCUUACCUUAACAUAUCUUUGUUGUUAAAAAAAAAAAAAGAAAUUCAGCAUCACUGAAAACUAAAACAAUGGAGUCUGAGAUCAGCAACAACUUAGUGGCAUGAAUAAUAAUAUUUAGCGUCUACUGGAGACUUCCUGUGGCAGACACAGACAGGCUGGCUCAUUGGAUAUUAUUUGUUCAAAGUUCCUCUACCAAGGCACAGAGAAGUAAGCUCAUACAUAUCACAGGGCUCAGGGUGGCUCCAAGUAGCCCGUAGGUUAAAAUCUUGCUCAACAGAUUAGGGAAAGUGCAGUUUAGUUGGUUCUCAGCCUUCCUAACAUGGCAACCCUUUAAUACAGUCAGUUGGUCAUAGCUACUUCGUAUCUGUAACUUGGCUACUGUUAUAAACCAUCAUGUAAAUAUCCAUGCUUUCAGGACCUACACAUUGAGAACCUCUGCUGUAGUUGAUGGAAGACUGGCCAAUCAUAUUCCAGUAGUUUGACCUUAGCAUUUAUUGG